ACGCUCGACACCUACGAGAGGCAGCAGCGGGGAAUAUUGCACAAUGGGGGAAACCCUGAUGCAGCGACGCCGCGUGAGUGAAGAAGUAUUUCGGUAUGUAAAGCUCUAUCAGCAGGGAAGAAGAUGACGGUACCUGAGUAAGAAGCCCCGGCUAACUACGUGCUAGCAGCCGCGGUAAUCUGAGCGGGCUGGCAAGGC
rnacentral:rRNA from 1 species